UCUCAGCCAGUGUUUAGUCUAACCGUUUGUGUCGAAACGGGUCUUAGUUUCUCUUUGUGCGUCGUCGAGGUGAGAGCUGAAGAAACAUUCCUUCGAACCGGCUAAUUGUGGUCUAUGAAUAGUGAUCUUCAGAAUGAAGCGCUCCUGAAUACUGGUAGCGAGAUGAGAAUGAGGAUGAGGCAGCCAUCAUCCCAAGCAUGGAGGAGAUGGAACAGCAGAAACUUUGCGAGCAGCAGCAUGCCACCAGAACAGAGGCUAGGAUGACCCCAUAGAUACUACCUCCAUGGUUUCCCCAUAUUCUGAAAACCCUUGUUCUUUCACCACGACUGCCUUGAAAGGCCAGAUGAUCAGCCAUUUUAGAAAAAUGCUGGCAGGCAUUGGACUGUGGGGCCCUGGCAGAUACUGAUGACAUCCUUGUGGAGACCCAUAGUAUCCUGUAAAGGUCUGCGGUGGUGACUUCCAGGCUGGUGGUGGUGGCAGUGUCCCUCCAGCUCCCGAUUGGUGCCCUUGUGGAGACCAUAGCAUCCUGCAAGGGUCUGUGGUGGUGACUUCCAGGCUGGUGGUGGUGGCAGUGUCCCUCCAGCUCCUUGCAUCUAUCAGCUGCUGAGAGGUGUUUGUGCCAGUGUUGUGUGUCAGACUCAUUGGUUGGUAGUGUUGCUAAUCUUUGAGCAUCAGUGUUGUAAGAGUCUGAAAGGCUCCCAAAUAUAUUGAUUAUUUUUU